rnacentral:misc_RNA from 1 species
GGCAAAUGGAUUGAUAGUGCUGUCAAACGAGCUACUUGGUAGGUGUCUGUGUGAAGAAGCAGUCAUCUGAGGAGGGAGAGUGAUAAAUUGGGGUCUCACUCCUUGAAUAUGUGGUGGUAGAUGACGAAGGUUUGGGUGCCCUUGAGGAAUGGAUGGAUAUAUAAAACUAGUCAAACCUCCAUUUCCGUUUGUUACUUGAUAUCCUCGCACGCUGAUAUUUCCACCAUCUUCACAGCCUUGAGUAUCACCAGGUAGAUAAGGUAGACGAGCACUAUGAUUCCAGGCCCAUGUUUCACUCUCCCUAGCACUGCUGUUGAACUGCAAGCCUGACCAAAAAUUGCC